CAGGAUCCCAUAAGUGAACAAGAACUUGCUACCACUUCCUCAUGAGUUUAUCCCCCUUGUAACCGGAAGCUAAAGAGUCAAGAAAUGGAGACCAAAAACUUAGAAUUAUUUCAGUGGAAAAAACAGAAGACCAAAAGGUGAAAUUUGCUUGGAGUGUCAUUUUGUCACCAGGGAAAUGGAAAGGAGAUCAUGCUUCCCUGAGACAGGUGGAUCCAAUGACAGCAAAGAGGACCAAGGUCUAGGCACAACAAACAGUUUUACAUCUCGGUUUGGGAUAUCCUGGAACCUGGAUUAAUUCACUCAGAAACAAGUACUGGCUAUUGAAGAUGCAUUUUUAAGCAAAUUCUCUUUAAUAAAUAGCUCUGAGGGAUCUUGUCUGAAUUCCCAUACAUAAUCUCCUGGAAAACACAGCAGGUUAGCCUGCUGCCAGCAUAAAACGUUUUGCAACCUGUGUAUAAAUUAUAAAGUGACUCACUCUGAGUAAAAACCAAGGAUGUCCCUAGAUGAGAGCACAC